GGUCAAGUGAAGAAGCGCAUACGGUGGAUGCCUUGGCAGUCAGAGGCGAUGAAAGACGUGGUAGCCUGCGAAAAGCUUCGGGGAGUCGGCAAACAGACUUUGAUCCGGAGAUCUCUGAAUGGGGGAACCCACCUAGGAUAACCUAGGUAUCUUGUACUGAAUCCAUAGGUGCAAGAGGCGAACCAGGGGAACUGAAACAUCUAAGUACCCUGAGGAAAAGAAAUCAACCGAGAUUCCCUUAGUAGUGGCGAGCGAACGGGGAUUAGCCCUUAAGCUUCAUUGAUUUUAGCGGAACGCUCUGGAAAGUGCGGCCAUAGUGGGUGAUAGCCCCGUACGCGAAAGGAUCUUUGAAGUGAAAUCGAGUAGGACGGAGCACGAGAAACUUUGUCUGAACAUGGGGACCAUCCUCCAAGGCUAAAUACUACUGACUGACCGAUAGUGAACCAGUACCGUGAGGGAAAGGCGAAAAGAACCCCGGAGAGGGGAGUGAAAUAGAACCUGAAACCGUAUGCGUACAAGCAGUGGGAGCCUACUUGUUAGGUGACUGCGUACCUUUGUAUAAUGGGUCAGCGACUUAUAUUCAGUGGCAAGCUUAACCGUAUAGGGUAGGCGUAGCGAAAGCGAGUCUUAAUAGGGCGUUUAGUCGCUGGGUAUAGACCCGAAACCGGGCGAUCUAUCCAUGAGCAGGUUGAAGGUUAGGUAACACUGACUGGAGGACCGAACCCACUCCCGUUGAAAAGGUAGGGGAUGACUUGUGGAUCGGAGUGAAAGGCUAAUCAAGCUCGGAGAUAGCUGGUUCUCCUCGAAAGCUAUUUAGGUAGCGCCUCAUGUAUCACUCUGGGGGGUAGAGCACUGUUUCGGCUAGGGGGUCAUCCCGACUUACCAAACCGAUGCAAACUCCGAAUACCCAGAAGUGCCGAGCAUGGGAGACACACGGCGGGUGCUAACGUCCGUCGUGAAAAGGGAAACAACCCAGACCGCCAGCUAAGGUCCCAAAGUUGUGGUUAAGUGGUAAACGAUGUGGGAAGGCUUAGACAGCUAGGAGGUUGGCUUAGAAGCAGCCAUCCUUUAAAGAAAGCGUAAUAGCUCACUAGUCGAGUCGGCCUGCGCGGAAGAUGUAACGGGGCUCAAACCACACACCGAAGCUGCGGGUGUCACGUAAGUGACGCGGUAGAGGAGCGUUCUGUAAGCCUGUGAAGGUGAGUUGAGAAGCUUGCUGGAGGUAUCAGAAGUGCGAAUGCUGACAUGAGUAACGACAAUGGGUGUGAAAAACACCCACGCCGAAAGACCAAGGGUUCCUGCGCAACGUUAAUCGACGCAGGGUUAGUCGGUUCCUAAGGCGAGGCUGAAAAGCGUAGUCGAUGGGAAACAGGUUAAUAUUCCUGUACUUCUGGUUACUGCGAUGGAGGGACGGAGAAGGCUAGGCCAGCUUGGCGUUGGUUGUCCAAGUUUAAGGUGGUAGGCUGAAAUCUUAGGUAAAUCCGGGGUUUCAAGGCCGAGAGCUGAUGACGAGUCGUCUUUUAGAUGACGAAGUGGUUGAUGCCAUGCUUCCAAGAAAAGCUUCUAAGCUUCAGGUAACCAGGAACCGUACCCCAAACCGACACAGGUGGUCGGGUAGAGAAUACCAAGGCGCUUGAGAGAACUCGGGUGAAGGAACUAGGCAAAAUGGCACCGUAACUUCGGGAGAAGGUGCGCCGGCUAGGGUGAAGGAUUUACUCCGUAAGCUCUGGCUGGUCGAAGAUACCAGGCCGCUGCGACUGUUUAUUAAAAACACAGCACUCUGCAAACACGAAAGUGGACGUAUAGGGUGUGACGCCUGCCCGGUGCCGGAAGGUUAAUUGAUGGGGUUAGCGCAAGCGAAGCUCUUGAUCGAAGCCCCGGUAAACGGCGGCCGUAACUAUAACGGUCCUAAGGUAGCGAAAUUCCUUGUCGGGUAAGUUCCGACCUGCACGAAUGGCGUAACGAUGGCGGCGCUGUCUCCACCCGAGACUCAGUGAAAUUGAAAUCGCUGUGAAGAUGCAGUGUAUCCGCGGCUAGACGGAAAGACCCCGUGAACCUUUACUGUAGCUUUGCACUGGACUUUGAGCCUGCUUGUGUAGGAUAGGUGGGAGGCUUUGAAGCGUGGACGCCAGUUCGCGUGGAGCCAUCCUUGAAAUACCACCCUGGCAUGCUUGAGGUUCUAACUCUGGUCCGUGAUCCGGAUCGAGGACAGUGUAUGGUGGGCAGUUUGACUGGGGCGGUCUCCUCCUAAAGAGUAACGGAGGAGUACGAAGGUGCGCUCAGACCGGUCGGAAAUCGGUCGUAGAGUAUAAAGGCAAAAGCGCGCUUGACUGCGAGACAGACACGUCGAGCAGGUACGAAAGUAGGUCUUAGUGAUCCGGUGGUUCUGUAUGGAAGGGCCAUCGCUCAACGGAUAAAAGGUACUCCGGGGAUAACAGGCUGAUACCGCCCAAGAGUUCAUAUCGACGGCGGUGUUUGGCACCUCGAUGUCGGCUCAUCACAUCCUGGGGCUGAAGCCGGUCCCAAGGGUAUGGCUGUUCGCCAUUUAAAGUGGUACGCGAGCUGGGUUUAGAACGUCGUGAGACAGUUCGGUCCCUAUCUGCCGUGGACGUUUGAGAUUUGAGAGGGCUGCUCCUAGUACGAGAGGACCGGAGUGGACGAACCUCUGGUGUUCCGGUUGUCACGCCAGUGGCAUUGCCGGGUAGCUAUGUUCGGAAAAGAUAACCGCUGAAAGCAUCUAAGCGGGAAACUUGCCUCAAGAUGAGAUCUCACUGGGAACUUGAUUCCCCUGAAGGGCCGUCGAAGACUACGACGUUGAUAGGCUGGGUGUGUAAGCGUUGUGAGGCGUUGAGCUAACCAGUACUAAUUGCCCGUGAGGCUUGACCAU
rnacentral:rRNA from 1 species